UCCUAUUAUAAAACCAACUGUCAUUCCAGCAUGACCAUUCAAGGGGAUGAUUGUUGAACCAACUUGGAAGUAGCCUACCAAUAAGCACAUUAUUUUUCAAUGUAUUAAGAACUAUCAGAGGCUGAGGAUCUCUCUUUUGGCUGCUGCUGCUACUGACAGCCACUGCUUAACCAGUCUUGCAACAACCCAUACUGUACUGGCGGAAGGCUGCCUAGCGGUUUAGGAGUGGUUCCUGAUGCAGGAGUUUGACCUGUGGCCGAAAAGUGGAAUUGAUCUGACAAUUGGAGGGCUGCUGCACUGCAGCUUGAACAUAUGCUCGUCUCAACUAUAUGUGUGAGGUCUGCUGUUUAUGGGGGUUGAGAAUGGAGCAGAAGACACAUUUUUGUUGUUCAUUGUAACUAAUGGGCAAAGUUGUAUUGGAUUGCAUUGUAUUGUAUUCUAAAGAAGUCAUCCAGAGUUGACAUGGGCCAUCAUUCAAACAAAGAGAUGUCUCCCUGGCCACCAGUGCAAAUUUUCAAACUAUGUUUGAAUAUAAUGACAAUACAUUCCUAAAACUAUGCUGGUAUAUUUUUUUCCGUUAUUGAAUAGUUUAUUAAAUGAUGCUGUUAGUUAAAAAAUAUUACUAUUUAAUAGUAGCAGCCAUAAUUCAUAAAAUGGCACCAUGCAGGAUUCUAUAUGGAAUCAUUUAGGUUCAGUGAAGAAGAACCAUUAGGGUUCUGACCAAAGAACCCUAUGAAAUGGUUCUGUAUAGAACUUUUAGAGGUUCCAUAUAUGAAGCAAGAGAUAGAACCCUUUUUGGUUCGUUAAGGAACUUUUUUUCUAAGUUUGUGAGAAACCUGUUGAAACUAGCUGUCAGUGGACUGACAAAUGGUGUAUGGUCCCAGAAGGCCAGACCCACUCUGGUUUGGCCAUAAUCAUAGCCACUUGCUAAAUCAUUUUAUCAGGAAAAGAUUUGUUUUGGGAAUUUUCUAAAUACCUUCAAUAUUGUGUAUUUCCAUUUUGGCUCUAUGCUUAGAAAUGCCCGUCUGGAGCAAAAUAUCCCAAUUUCAAACGUUCCAAAACAGUGUAUAAAAUUCUAAAAACAGGCAAUUAUGGAUAACAACUGAAAAAUGAUCUUUAAUGAAAAUGUAUCUCAAAACAGUGAUUUCUAAAAGAUGUCCAGAGAUUUGAUUUAUUCCGUCAGAUUUGUCUAAAAUCCUAAAUGAAUCAGGAAUGAGCAGGGUCAGUUAUACCAUAAGGACCCCCUAUUCAUGUCUUCAUUGCAUGUAGUGCAACAAGACCACACAUGGUCUGUAAAGUUCUAUACUUUUGAUAGAUUUAAACAAACAAUAUUGGAAGCACCAUGGUAUGGUGCUUCCAUUAACUGGUGCAACCAUUAACUGUCAAAUCCAUCUGAAUGAUAGAUUACAAUAGAAUAUACAUUUUGGUUCAAAUAUGUUACAUUUAA